UUUACAUUAAAAAAAGGUAAAUUCUUGGAUUUUUUUAUCUGGAGUGGGGAGAAAAAAGCAAGGUUCAAACACAUCUCUGUUCCCCAUUCACCACAUGCACCACAUGGAAGAAUAGAAAAGCCAGCACCACUGCUGAUUCUUAGUUCACUUCUCAACAUCUGGAUUUCAUCUGAAAACAUGAUCAAAGAGAGACACUAUCAGGAUGCAGCAAGCUAUGUUCAAAAUAAUGAUACCCAGACAGCGUUAGAAAAUUCAAAAGGAGACUGUCUCCAUAUCAGAAGUGUGGGUUGAAAUUGCUGCAGUUCAGGCUCAUCAAUAUUGGCUACCAUAGGGCAUUAUAAGGAGAGACAUCCAAGGAAAAUCCAAGGCUGUAUAUCACCGCAUGCUGUGAGCAAAACUCCUGCAGUCAUAACCUAAUCAUGACAUCUGAUGGCCACUAAAAACUGCAUCUUUUUGGAACAAGGUUUAGUUAUGAUAGAGGUAGCAUAAAAACGAUGGCCUUGAAAAUGUGUGGUUUUCUUUUAAAGGAAAUAGUAAGUAUGGGUCUAAGGCAUAGUUGUAUCCUUUCUCUUCCUUCUUUUCCAUAAUUUCCCCCCCUCUCCUCCCUCAAAU